rnacentral:misc_RNA from 1 species
AGUCGUAACAAGGUUUCCGUAGGUGAACCUGCGGAAGGAUCAUUACAGUAUUCUUUUGCCAGCGCUUAACUGCGCGGCGAAAAACCUUACACACAGUGUCUUUUUGAUACAGAACUCUUGCUUUGGUUUGGCCUAGAGAUAGGUUGGGCCAGAGGUUUAACAAAACACAAUUUAAUUAUUUUUACAGUUAGUCAAAUUUUGAAUUAAUCUUCAAAACUUUCAACAACGGAUCUCUUGGUUCUCGCAUCGAUGAAGAACGCAGCGAAAUGCGAUAAGUAAUAUGAAUUGCAGAUUUUCGUGAAUCAUCGAAUCUUUGAACGCACAUUGCGCCCUCUGGUAUUCCAGAGGGCAUGCCUGUUUGAGCGUCAUUUCUCUCUCAAACCCCCGGGUUUGGUAUUGAGUGAUACUCUUAGUCGGACUAGGCGUUUGCUUGAAAAGUAUUGGCAUGGGUAGUACUGGAUAGUGCUGUCGACCUCUCAAUGUAUUAGGUUUAUCCAACUCGUUGAAUGGUGUGGCGGGAUAUUUCUGGUAUUGUUGGCCCGGCCUUACAACAACCAAACAAGUUUGACCUCAAAUCAGGUAGGAAUACCCGCUGAACCUAAGCAUAUCA